AAUGUACUCCCUCCGUCUCAAAAUUCUUGUCUUAAAUUUAUCUAAAUACGGAUGUAUCAAGUCACGUUUUAGUAUUAGGUACAUCCGUAUCUAGACAAUUCUAAGACAAGAAUUUUAGGAUGGAGGGAGUAUAAU
rnacentral:pre_miRNA from 1 species